AGAGGCAGACGGGUGAGUAACGCGUGGGAAUCUACCUUUGAGUGGGGAAUAACAAUUAGAAAUGAUUGCUAAUACCGCAUAUACCCUCCGGGGGAAAGGCUUCGGCCGCUCUUAGAUGAGCCCGCGUACGAUUAGUUUGUUGGUGAGGUAAAGGCUCACCAAGACUACGAUCGUUAGCUGGUUUGAGAGGAUGAUCAGCCACACUGGGACUGAGACACGGCCCAGACUCCUACGGGAGGCAGCAGUGGGGAAUAUUGGACAAUGGGCGAAAGCCUGAUCCAGCCAUGCCGCGUGAGUGAAGAAGGCCUUAGGGUUGUAAAACUCUUUCGACAGGGAAGAUAAUGACGGUACCUGUAUAAGAAGCUCCGGCUAACUCCGUGCCAGCAGCCGCGGUAAUACGGAGGGGGCAAGCGUUGCUCGGAAUUACUGGGCGUAAAGCGAGCGUAGGCGGUUAGUCAAGUUGGUGGUGAAAGCCCGGAGCUCAACUCCGGAACUGCCAUCAAAACUGACUUACUUGAGAUUGGUAGAGGAAAAUGGAAUUCCUAGUGUAGAGGUGAAAUUCGUAGAUAUUGGGAAGAACAUCGGUGGCGAAGGCGAUUUUCUGGGCCAUAUCCGACGCUGAGGUUCGAAAGCGUGGGUAGCAAACAGGAUUAGAUACCCUGGUAGUCCACGCCGUAAACGAUGAGUGCUAGACGUUGGAAAUUAAUUUUUCAGUGUCGUAGUUAACGCAUUAAGCACUCCGCCUGGGGAGUAC
rnacentral:rRNA from 1 species